rnacentral:tRNA from 1 species
AAUGAUUGGUAAGCAUAGCGGACUUAAAAUCCGCCGCUUCACGGCUUGCCGGUUCGAGUCCGGUCCCCGGCGCCA